ACGUCACCUGUUCUAAUACAGGCGACACCUUAUAUUUGGUUUUACGGGUCAGUUGUUACAUUAAGGCGACACCAUAGAUUUAUAAAAUUAAUAAAUAAAAAUUUAGUUAAUUGGGUCUAAAUUAUCAGAUUAUCUAUCGGCUGGGCCUUCACUUUCAUUUUCAGUUUCAUCUCAAUUCUUAAACUCCCUCUCACCUUCCUCCUUAGUCCUCCCUGGCUCCCUCAUACUGUCCCUCGCACUCUCUCUUCGAAUUAGAUGGCGAAGUUUUCUCUACGGCGGCAACCCAUGGUGUCCGACCACCUUCCUCCCUUAUCCGUUGUCGUCUUCAAGCUCCUUGUGCCCCGCGACGGCGACCAGGCUAUGGAGUGUUUUUGUCCACAGUUUCUUCUGUUUGGAGGAUCUAGCUCUGCCCGAAGAAAGUACAAUUUUAGACACACCAAAGUAGCAGCUACACUGUCUCCAAUAUUCCUAUUUUAAAGAAAGACUGUUACCAAGACGAAUAGAGCUGAAUAUGCCCUAAGUUUGCUCCGUGAGAAGAAGAACGGGUUUGACAUCGUCAUAAGUGAUGUACACAUGCCAAAUAUUGAUGGGUUUAAACUCCUUGAGCACGUUGGGUUAAAUAAGAUAAAUCGGGGAGCUGAGAUGAAGGGGACCGACAACUAAAACAAGAUAAAUUCUCAAGGUUGGAACUUGGUUAUGACCGAGGUCGUAACAAUGUUGGAUCAUAUACAGACCCCUCUUCCAAUGCGUAAGAAGUCAGGCUGCACAUACCUGGCUUCAAAUGAGCAAGAACAACUACUCGCAUUAUAGCAGAGGGAUAUCAUGAAGAACAUGGAGUUGGAUACCAUAGUAUGCUGUCUAUGGAGAGUAUCUUCCAUUGUGGUUUAGUUUAAGGAGGUGAUUUCUAUGUGAGUGAUCGCAUUUGCAAAGUGGCCCCUACGCUUAGAUAUUCAAGGAUUUAAGAUGCUACCUUCUAAGUUCUCAAGUCUAGGAUGCCUAGAGAAACUGGAUAACGAGACUCCUCAUAUGUAUGUUCAGAAAAUGGUGUUUGCUUGCUACUACUUUGCUUCAACCAAGGAUAUGCCACAUCUUAGGCAAAAGGAUAUGAUGGCUAGUAUGGUUAUUCAUUGCUUGCCCCAUAAGAACCCUUACAUAGACCUUAAGAACAAGUUCAAUGACAUGCACUAUAAUGAUGGUACCGCUAAUUGGUACAAAUAUGGGACUGGAGAUGGUAGGUGGAAGUAUGAUACUGAAGUUCUCACUACUAUCUUAGAGGUUGCUGAGAAUAGUUAUGAGGAUGGAAAAUACUCUGCGGGUCUAGGUAUGGGCUAUGCAAGAGAAGAAAGUGAUGGUGAAGAUGGCAUGAUACAUGAUGAGCAAGCUAAUGAUGUUGAGAAGGAUGAUGAGAUGUAGUUGAGAUUGAAAAAUCCUGUAGUUCAUGAACCAACAAUUGAGAUAUCUAGUGGAUUUGAGGAUGAGCUUGAAGAGAACAAUGUGUUUGAUACUGAGCCACAACAGGAUGAUGAAGCUAGGGAUGAAGAUUUUGAUCCGGAAGAAGACUUGG